rnacentral:lncRNA from 1 species
AUUUUUAAAUUGCCUUGAAGAAAUUUGGAGGUUCUUAGUAGAAGCGUCACUUUGAAGUGACAUCUUUACUCGUUUCUUGUGUCUAUACUUUGAUUGUUCAUCUGUUUCUGCUUUUUCCGGAAGCAUAGCUAUCAUCCAAAGUGUCUGUGACAUCCUAGUUCCAACUUGUCACUGGCUGAAUCAAGGCAGCUGACUUUGAACCGAGGCCACCUUCAUUCCCCUCAAGAACUAACUCAUCUUCUGGAACUGAGAUACUGAGCAAGCAGCACACGUCCUCCCUGGAACUGUGGAUAUAUUAUUCACUUAUCAAGUUUCCGGCUUGAAUAAGCGUCCCACUCCCGAGGAAGGACGCUAAAGAAAGGUGAGCAUACGCAGACCUCGGCCUGUGCGGAAGGAAGCCCACGUUGUGCUCCCAUCAUGCUGUGCUCACCGGGCAUUCACUCAGGACAGCACCAACAGUCGCGGCUCCUUUCCAUCUCCCACCUGCAUCAGCCCAGAGCACAUCGCACUCACAUCUGUGAGUCUGACAUGGAUGCGACCGAACUUCCUCUAGAAACUUCACAAUAACUGCAUCCUUCACAGUGACGUUGGUAUUUUCCUCAAUGCUGACAUCUGAAUGCUAAGAAUGGACUUCAUCCUCAUAGUCCAUGAGGCAGAAAAGUUGUUUGUUUUUUUGUUUGUUUUUGGGUUUUGGUGUUUGUUUUUUUGAUACAAUGACCUGUACCCCAUGCUAACCCCAUGCCCAGCUAUCACUGGGUUCUUGAUUUCUAGCAAUAAGAAUAGUAAGAGGUCAGAUUCCAUUCAUUGUUAGCAAAAUAUUCAGCUAGUUAAUUCCCAAGCUAGAAUCAUUAAAUUAACUUAAACUAUCAAUUCUAAAUCUGCAGUUAGUGUGGCUUGGGUUAAAAACAGGGCCCUGGGCCAGCAAGAAGGUUCACCAGGCAAAAGUAUCUGCCGGUAAGCUUGCUGGCCUGAGUUCAGCCCCUAGGACCCAUAUAGGAGAAGGGAAAAACAAACUCCCCAGUUGUCCUCUGACCUCCACACACUUGUUCCUUGUAGGCAAAAUAAAUAAAUAAAAUGUAGUUCUAACCCCAAUUUUCUCUCCUAGUGGGAGAAUUAAUAACAUAUGCUUCAUAUAAAUUUUAGCAAUUAAAUCAAAGUGCAUAAAAAAAAAUAAUGUCACUGUAAGAAGGACAGCAAAUGGCUCAAUGGAUAAAGGCAUCUGCCCAAUGCUGAAGUCCACCCUGGGAACCACAGCUAGGAGGAAAGCAUCAACUCUGGCAAGUUGUCCUCUGACUUCCACACUCACUCUGCGUAGUAGUACACACCCACAUUAAUAAAUAUUGAUUUUUAUUUCUUUUCUUUUUUUGGUUUUUUGAGACAGGAUUUCUCUUUAUAACCCUGGCUGUCCUGGAAUUCACUUUGUAGACCAGGCUGGCUUCGAACUCAGAAAUCCGCCUGCCUCUGCCUCCCGAGUGCUGGGAUUAAAGGCGUGCACCACCACGCCCGACUUAUAAAUACUGAUUUUUAAUCACAGGUCACGAAAGGCCAUCGGGCCAGGUGUGGUGGCGCACACUCAGAAGAAUGAGGCAGAAGGGUCAUAAUUCCCAGGCAAGGAACUGCUGUGCUGCCUGUCACAGCAGUAACAGCGCAUGGCUGUGGCCAAUGGAUGAGAGGGAAUGGCAAGCGAAAUAGGCAAAACGGGUGUGAGCAGGCAGAGAAGGGAUGGGGGUUAUAGGAACCAGCUGGAGCCUUGGAAGUAGAGCUCACUCACUGGCUCGCUCGCUCUGUGGAGAGAAAAGCAGGGCCAUCAGACGCCCAUGGAACAGAGUUCACUGCUUUUGCCUCCAGUGGACUGCAGCUAAACUCGGACUCCGAAGGUUCUAUGCGACAGGAUCAUUUUCUUAUUUUCCAAUGGAGCACCAACUACCAGUUACACUUUCUACUGUCCCCUUAUAUUUUCUCACAGAAAUUAUCAUUAAAUAUAUAAGGGAAAUAUAGCUUUUACUAAAAUAACUAAGGACAAAGAAAGAAGUUCUUUCCAAGACUGCUGUUCACACUUACCUGCCCCCAGGCAUACAUGUUAUUAUGAGUCUGUGAAGGGUUGACUUUCGAAAGGAGGAAACGAGCCUUAAAAGUAAAAAUAAAUAAAUAAAUAAAUAAAUAGUGCUGAUCAAACACAGACUUAGUAAGAUAAGCUACAGACAAUAUACCAUUUAAACCCAACUUAACUGAAUAUUUUGGUAAUUUUGUUAAAAUGUAAUACUUACAAAGUUAAAUUUUAAAAUGCAUCAACCGAAAAAAAUGCAUUAACCACAAUACAAAUAAUAUACUCUUCCAACAUUACAUAUUUGUAGCAUUCAUAAGAUAAUAGACUACUGAAUCCCAAACUCAACAGAUAAAAAGUUGUAUGUACAGGACUAGAGAGAUGGCUCAGCAGGUAAGAGCAUGACUGCUCUUCCAGAAGAGCUGGGUUGGUUGGAUUCCCAGAACCCACUGGUGACACACAACUAUCUGUAACUAUCUUUAACCUAGGGCAUCUGACUCCCUCUCCUGACUUCUUCCAGUGCUGCAUGCUUGUGUUAUACGGACAUCAAUGCAGGCAAAGCACCCAAACACAUGAAAUAAAAAUAAGACUGCAAAUGUUUAUUUGUUAACACAAACCUUAUUUUAAAAUGAAUGUGAAAAUACAGUUUUAUCAACUACUCUGAAACAAAAGAAGUCUAAAGCCUCGUAAAAAUGAUUUUAAUCCACAGGUGAUAACUUAGGCAACAUUUAUCCAUCCUCUACAACAGCUAAUCAAUCAAUAAAUAAAUGAGUAAUUAGAUAAGGAAAAUAACAAUACACAUUAAGAUAUUGAUGAAUGAAUUCAUCAAAAAUCUUAAUUCAUUCUAGAAGAACAAAAGCAAUUUAAUCUUUUGAAAAAUGUUUUUCUAUUCCCUAAGUAGCUCUAGUCCUAGAAUAAGAAGCCUGGAAUUCAAUUAACUCCUACUUAGGAUUGGCAAGCUUACAAAUGUAAUCUCAGUAUCUAGGAGACUGAGGCAGAAAGAAUGUUCAAGGUCCACCUGAGCUAUGUAGCUAAGACACUAUCUCUUU